UAUUGCACAAUGGGGGAAACCCUGAUGCAGCAACGCCGCGUGGGUGAAGAAGUAUUUCGGGAUGUAAAGCCCUAUCAGCAGGGAAGAGAAUGACGGUACCUGACUAAGAAGCCCCGGCUAACUAAGCGACAGCAGCCGCGGGAAUACGUAGGGGGCAAGCGUUAUCCGGAUUUACUGGGUGUAAAGGGAGCGUAGACGGUUGUGCAAGUCUGAAGUGAAAGCCCGCGGCUCAACUGCGGAACGGCUUUGGAAACUGUGUAACUGGAGUGCUGGAGAGGUAAGCGGAAUUCCUGGUGUAGCGGUGAAAUGCGUAGAGAUCAGGAGGAACACCGGCGGCGAAGGCGGCUUACUGGACAGUAACUGACGUUGAGGCUCGAAAGCGUGGGGAGCAAACAGG
rnacentral:rRNA from 1 species